rnacentral:lncRNA from 1 species
UUUUUCAGUUGUCUUCCAGCUAUACUUUUCGAUACUCAUUGAAGGAAAUUUUCAAAGUGAUACAUUUGACAAUCCUCAUCCGGGUUUUAAUUAAGGCACUGCACAAAACACCACCUGGUAUGUAGUACACAAAGGAUCAGCACAGGUCAAAAGAAGUCAGAGGUCAAAAAAGGAAACAGGCGGUUAGGAUUCUGGGAGCUUUAGAAGUUGUAACUUCAGGUCUGACGAUAAUGACUAGAAAGACUUGACAGAUUAAAAGUUACAUAUUUAAAAAAUUAAAUUUACUUUUGGGGAAGUAUAAUGUUAAAGCAAACGUAGAGUAACCCAGUGAAACUAAUUUUGAGUUCAAAACAAAAACGCUAAGGAGAGAGAGGUAGGAAAAGGUAGCUAUUAAUUUAAAAUAAAAUAUUCUGGAAGCACUAUCAUCUGCUUUUACAUUCAGGACAGAAGGGACAAAGUAUGAAGAGGAAGAAAAGUGAAAAGAGAAGAGAAGCAACGAAUAUAGAAUGGACAAAUUAGGUAGAAAAUGAAAGAAGUGAAGCAAGAAUUCUCUUCAAUCACAAAGACUAAAGUGUUUAAUUUACAAGAAAAAGCCUGAGAGAACACUUUCUUUUUCUGCAAAUUUAUGGCCCCUUCCUUUUUCUAAAUCAGCAUCCUUAAAAAAGGGAUGGGAAGGUGUUCUUUAUGACCAGCAUGACCAUAUCAUUUAAUGUCCACAUCAGAGUACUUUUGUGUAGGACAAAUGCUAAACUAGAUAGGCUACCCAAGACCGCUGGUGUCAUCAGGAGUAUCCCAGGCACACCAGAAUGGGGGUGUAGCAGACUGAUAGCAAAAUAGCCACAAUUCCUCAUCCCUCUUUGUAUCCCCAUCUUGUGCAGAACAACUUCAUGAUACGAGCUCUUCCUAUCAAGACGUGGACUUUAUUUCCCACCUCUUGACUCUGGGCUGGCCCUCUGAUUUGUUUUGGCCAAUAUGGUACAGCCGAAGUGAAGCGCCAGUUCUGAGCCUUGGUCACAAGACACCUUGAGCAUCUCUGCUCUAUCUCUUCAACUCCCACCAUCCCCAUUAAAACAAGACCAAGCUAGCCUGUUAGAGGAUCAAACACCAUGAGAAGAGCUGAGGUCCCCCAACCAAUAUCCAGUUAACUCCCCUAGAAGCUGAACUACCUAGCCAACCUACCGCUGCCCAUGAGAACUCACCCAAGAUCAGAUCACCCAAAUGAACUAUGCCUAAUUUCCUCUAAAAUCAUGAGCAACAUGAGCCACCGAGUUUUAGAGUGGUUUCUUACACAGUGAUACCUAACCCAGAUGACUCACUCCAAGUGUGCCUACCACUUCAGAAAUUCAGCAAUGAAACUUUCUACUCGAGUGAACCAACCCAAUCCAUCUCUCCUUAGGGCAGGGUUACAAGGCUCUUCAACCAAAGCCCUAGAAGAUAUUAAGCUGUUGCUGCUGCUUUUUUUUUUUAAGUCUUUUAUUUUUAGGAACCCAGGAGUGCUCCAUCCAAAAAUAAUAUUGGCUAUCUUCAUGAUUACGUCUAAGACAUUAAAAUCUACUGAUCUUAAAGCUUGCAUUUAAGCAGCAUUCUAUAGUUUACAUACCAUUUUACUAAAAGAAAAAAGAGCUAUGAAACAUAGAAUCACUGGUAUCAUUGCCCAUUUUACAAAGGAGGAAAUCAAAUCAAAGGGCAAAUUAAAUGACUCACAAGCAGUAAGUGGCAAAGCUAUAACAAGC